AUGGCUAAUACCGCAUGAUGCCUACGGCCCACAGAGGGGGACCUUCGGGCCUCUCGCGUCAGGAUAUGCCCAGGUGGUAUUAGCUAGUUGGUGAGGUAAGGGCUCACCAAGGCGACGAUCCCUAGCUGGUCUGAGAGGAUGAUCAGCCACACUGGAACUGAGACACGGUCUAGACUCCUACGGGAGGCAGCAGUGGGGAAUAUUGCACAAUGGGCGCAAGCUUGAUGCAGCCAUGCCGCGUGUGUGAAGAAGGCCUUCGGGUUGUAAAGCACUUUCAGUUGUGAGGAAGGUGGUGUCGUUAAUAGCGGCAUCAUUUGACGUUAGCUACAGAAGAAGCACCGGCUAACUCCGUGCCAGCAGCCGCGGUAAUACGGAGGGUGCGAGCGUUAAUCGGAAUUACUGGGCGUAAAGCGCAUGCAGGUGGUUUGUUAAGUCAGAUGUGAAAGCCCGGGGCUCAACCUCGGAACUGCAUUUGAAACUGGCAGACUAGAGUACUGUAGA
rnacentral:rRNA from 1 species